rnacentral:rRNA from 1 species
UACGGAGGGUGCAAACGUUGCUCGGAAUCAUUGGGCGUAAAGCGCACGUAGGCGGUCCACCAAGUUGGAUGUGAAAGCCCUCGGCUUAACUGAGGAAGUGCAUACAAAACUAGUGGACUUGAGUACGGGAGAGGAUCGCGGAAUUCCCGGUGUAGAGGUGAAAUUCGUAGAUAUCGGGAGGAGCACCAGUGGCGAAGGCGGCGAUCUGGACCGAUACUGACGCUGAGGUGCGAAAGCGUGGGGAGCAAACAGG